rnacentral:rRNA from 1 species
AUUGAACGCUGGCGGCAGGCCUAACACAUGCAAGUCGAACGAGUGGCGGACGGGUGAGUAAUGUCUGGGAAACUGCCUGAUGGAGGGGGAUAACUACUGGAAACGGUAGCUAAUAACGCAUACCAUCAGAUGUGCCCAGAUGGGAUGAGCUAGUAGGUGGGGUAACGGCUCACCUAGGCGACGAUCCCUAGCUGGUCUGUGAGGAUGGCCAGCCCCGCUGGAACUGAGACACGGUCCAGACUCCUACGGUAGGCUGCAGUGGGGAAUGUUGCACAAUGGGCGCAAGCCUGAUGUAGCCAUGCCGAGUGGAUGAAGAAGUCCUUCGGGUUGUAAAGUACAUUCGGCGGGGAGGCGUUACCCGCAGAAGAAGCACCGGCUAACUCCGUGCCAGCAGCCGCGGUAAUAC